ACGGAGUUUUCGGACAAUGGAUGUAGAGGAAAGUGGCGGACGGGUGAGUAACGCGUGAGGAACCUGCCUUGAAGAGGGGGACAACAGUUGGAAACGACUGCUAAUACCGCAUGAAAUCAUAGGAAGGCAUCUUCUAAUGAUCAAAGGAGCAAUCCACUUUGAGAUGGGCUCGCGUCCGAUUAGGUAGUUGGUGGGGCAACGGCCUACCAAGCCGACGAUCGGUAGCCGGACUGAGAGGUUGAACGGCCACAUUGGGACUGAGAUACGGCCCAGACUCC
rnacentral:rRNA from 1 species